rnacentral:rRNA from 1 species
GAUUGCGAUCAUACCAGCACUAAUGCACCGGAUCCCAUCAGAACUCCGCUGUUAAGCGUGCUUGGGCGAGAGUAGUACUAGGAUGGGUGACCCCCUGGGAAGUCCUCGUGUUGCAACCC